GGCAGAGGGAACGAUGGCCGUGGCUGACAUUGAGGAGGGAGCUGGCAGAGGGAACGAUGGCCAUGGCUGACACUGAGGAGGGAGCGUGGCAGAGGGAAUGAUGGCCAUGGCUGACAUUGAGGAGGGAGCUGGCAGAGGGAAUGAUGGCCAUGGUGAUAUUGAGGAGGGAGCGUGGCAGAGGGAAUGAUGGCCAUGGCUGACAUUGAGGAGGGAGUGUGGCAGAGGGAAUGAUGGCCAUGGUGACACUGAGGAGGGAGCGUGGUAGAGGGAAUGAUGGCCAUGGUGACAUUGAGUCAGCACUUAUUAGGUUCCACGUGUACAUGGUCAAGUUUUCCUGUGGUUUUUCUCAGAAAGGAGCCAUGAUCCUGCAACAGUGAAACAGGAAAAGUGCUAACAAAACUGACUCCAUUUUUAUUUAAUGGGCUUUUUCUCAUCCCUGCAUAUAAGCUAGCAUAAUUUUAGAGCGCUAAGAUAAAACGCAAAAGCGGUAAUCAUGUAGUUUUUGCAACUAACUGUGGGAUUAAUGGAAAGUAUGUAAACAGCUAACUGUGGUUUGUUAAAGAUUUAUAGGAGCAUUGUGAUCUGACCAAGGAGAAAGAAGGUCCCAGCCUCCUGGGACCAUUGCUGGCACCUGGAUGUGUGAGGUAGUCAGGUACCUGUUGAUCCCAACCCUCUCCUCUUCCACCCUCCGUUGAAC
rnacentral:lncRNA from 1 species